GCACUGCCGAGGAGUCCCACAAUUGGACGAAACGGCCGUCCAGUGC
rfam:Schistosoma rodhaini strain Burundi genome assembly, scaffold: SROB_scaffold0004925